rnacentral:rRNA from 1 species
UACGUAGGGGGCAAGCGUUGUCCGGAAUCAUUGGGCGUAAAGCGCGUGUAGGCGGCCAGAUAAGUCCGCUGUGAAAUCUCGAGGCUCAACUUCGAGCUGUCGGUGGAAACUGUCUGGCUAGAGUCCGGAAGAGGAGAAUGGAAUUCCUGGUGUAGCGGUGAAAUGCGCAGAUAUCAGGAGGAACACCGGUGGCGAAGGCGGAUCUCUGGGCCAUUACUGACGCUGAGGAGCGAAAGCGUGGGGAGCGAACAGG